GCGCCCGUAGCUCAGGGGAUAGAGCGUUGGUCUCCGGAACCAAAGGUCAGAGGUUCGAAUCCUCUCGGGCGCACCA
rnacentral:tRNA from 1 species